rnacentral:rRNA from 1 species
GUUAAGCGACUAAGCGUACACGGUGGAUGCCCUGGCAGUCAGAGGCGAUGAAGGACGUGCUAAUCUGCGAUAAGCGUCGGUAAGGUGAUAUGAACCGUUAUAACCGGCGAUUUCCGAAUGGGGAAACCCAGUGUGAUUCGUCACACUAUCAUUAACUGAAUCCAUAGGUUAAUGAGGCGAACCGGGGGAACUGAAACAUCUAAGUACCCCGAGGAAAAGAAAUCAACCGAGAUUCCCCCAGUAGCGGCGAGCGAACGGGGAGGAGCCCAGAGCCUGAAUCAGUGUGUGUGUUAGUGGAAGCGUCUGGAAAGGCGCGCGAUACAGGGUGACAGCCCCGUACACAAAAAUGCACAUACUGUGAGCUCGAUGAGUAGGGCGGGACACGUGGUAUCCUGUCUGAAUAUGGGGGGACCAUCCUCCAAGGCUAAAUACUCCUGACUGACCGAUAGUGAACCAGUACCGUGAGGGAAAGGCGAAAAGAACCCCGGCGAGGGGAGUGAAAAAGAACCUGAAACCGUGUACGUACAAGCAGUGG